rnacentral:lncRNA from 1 species
GUUUGCUUAGGACUCUGUCCCUGAUAAUAACAAAGGUUAAUAUUUAUUGAUUGUUUAAUAUGUGCCAUAUGCUGAAUGCUUCAGAACAGUUGAUUUGAAUCUUCACAGCAUCAUAAUAGGCAGAUACUGUUAUUAUCCCCAUUUUAUAGGUAAGUACAUGGACACACAAAUACUUCAGAACUUGCUUGAUGUCACAGGAUGGGAAAGUGAUGCUAGACAAUCUGGCUGCAUAAUCUGUGCUCUUAACUAGCACAUUGCAUCUUGUGUAAAAUGAUCACUUAAUAUUGGGAAAAUGCUUUAUUGCGUGCUGUCUGCAUUGUAGAUUAAGGAAGCUAACUGGGCUCCCAUAGAGUAUUUAGAUCAUAGCCUUGCCAAGAAAUCGAAAAUUUUCAUCUUAAAUAUCCCAGCCACUUAAGUAUGUGUGAACUCUCAAACAAAAGUAGAACAAAAAAGAUGCAAGAUGCAAUGUGUGUGAUGUCUUCCAACAUUCUCUUUGUAUUCAGAGCAUCAGAGAACUCUUGGUUUACUGUUCACUAUGGUAAUGGUUGUUCAUAUUUGCUCAUCUUCUUAAGGUUAUGUGAAACUAUGAUCACCAGGAUUGCAUUUGGAUUAUAAUAAAAUGAUUCACUACUACUGUGAAGUUGGUAACAGAUCAUUUUUAAUGACAAAUUUAUUAAGAUACAAUUCAUAUACCAUUGAUAGAUAUUUUCCCAAUAUUUAUCAGUAGCCUUUAAUUCCUUAUACUUCCUUUAAGUUUUUACAUAUAUUUGUGAUUUAAAC